rnacentral:rRNA from 1 species
GAAUCUUACCCGUACGGUUGCCUCGGCGCUGGCGGUCCGGAAGGCCCUCGGGCCCCCCGGAUCCUCGGGUCUCCCGCUCGCGGGAGGCUGCCCGCCGGAGUGCCGAAACCAAACUCUUGAUAUUUUAUGUCUCUCUGAGUAAACUUUUAAAUAAGUCAAAACUUUCAACAACGGAUCUCUUGGUUCUGGCAUCGAUGAAGAACGCAGCGAAAUGCGAUAAGUAAUGUGAAUUGCAGAAUUCAGUGAAUCAUCGAAUCUUUGAACGCACAUUGCGCUCGCCAGUAUUCUGGCGAGCAUGCCUGUUCGAGCGUCAUUUCAACCAUCAAGCUCUGCUUGCGUUGGGGAUCCGCGUCUGACGCGGUCCCUCAAAAACAGUGGCGGGCUCGCUAGUCACACCGAGCGUAGUAACUCUACAUCGCUAUGGUCGUGCGGCGGGUUCUUGCCGUAAAACCCCCAAUUUCUAAGGUUGACCUCGGAUCAGGUAGGAAUACCCGCUGAACUUAAGCAUAUCAAUA